AUGUAGAUACAGAAAGGAAUGUGACCUGAGUGUUUAAACUCCUUCCUUCUCAUCAGUGUCUCAGACUCUUUGGCGGCAUCGAGGAGGGAAGAAGCAUUUCUUGUGAAUUUAUUUCGUUUCUAACAUUCUGACAUCUUACAGAUAAACUGGUAAAGCAGGGAAUAAUUGCUUAAACUUCAGCUGCAGUCAGCUGCUCCAGUCAUGGAUUGCAUCGCCUAUAUCGGCCGCUGCCUGCUGUUUUUCUUCAUUGCCGUCCUCUUGGACGCAGCGGGCCUCAUCCUCUUCUUCAUCGGGAUUUUCGCUCCGCUCAGCUUCUGGGAUUUCUUUGUCUUCUCUGGGCCCCUCAUUAUCUUCCUUAGCCUGGUGUUCUGGAUCUUCUGGUAUCUGGGAAACCUGGAGGUGCCGAUGGAGGAGCUACUCCCCAAAUAGAUUCACGGCUCCUUCUUUUGCAGCACGAGACUAUUUUCUGGCAACUAGGGCUGGAUGAUGAAACCAAAGCUACAGCUACAGGGGGAACAUUUUCAGCUCCUAGUCAAUCUCACUGGUGGAUUGAAUAGAGGACACUGGAUUUUACUAUGAAAGGACAAACACGGGACUUUAAUCUGAAAGGACAUCUGUAUGCUGAACACCUCAGGCUCGGGGAUGAGUUUAGAAACUUUUGAAUGUCAUUGACUUUCCAACAAGAAGUGUUAACAGUCGACAGAGAUUCAGAGGUUCUGAUAUAAAUCCCAUCACCUUCUGAUUCCAAUAAGGGCGGCCAAUCAGAUUCUGAGGGGGGGGGGGGCCCUUGUUUCACUCUGACUUCAGAAUCAGGGACCAGAAUCUCCCAUUCACACAUCUUCACUCCAUUUACAUCCCAAUGACGCUGCUCAUCCAGUUUUUACUCUUUCUUUCUUUUUUUUACUGAUUUCCUUUUGAAGGCUGUUGUUCUGUCUCUGUGGUGUUGUUCGUGUUGUGAAAUCUGAGUAUUGGUCGCUCAACCCAUCCAACAGAAACCAGUCAAACUGGGUCCCUUAGUUACUGGGGCAGGGAGUCCUCUCACUUUACAAGAAUGGGUUUGUGUGAGGAGAAAGGGAAGAAGAAGAUCUGCCCUGUCUAUGAAACAUUAUAACAACAGGAAAACAUGGUGGAACUGAAACGGAGGGAGCAGUCUGUACAGAUUUAAGUGUAAAAUGUGAUCUUGCAUAAUCUUAACAUCAGAUAUGUGGCAGAACUUGUUUCUCUGUUACCAAAGUAGACACACCCUGUUGUGGCUGAUGUUUAAGCUUAACACCAGAAUUAUCCUCAGGUUUUCAAAUCCCGUCCAUGAAAACAGAGCAACAACUAAAGAAAAA